rnacentral:rRNA from 1 species
GAUGAACGCUGGCGGCGUGCUUAACACAUGCAAGUCGAACGGAAAGGCCCUGCUUUCGUGGGGUGCUCGAGUGGCGAACGGGUGAGUAACACGAGUGUAACCUGCUCUUCACUUUGGGAUAACUUCAGGAAACUGGGGCUAAUACCGGAUAGCAGCUCCUGCUGCAUGGUGGGGGUUGGAAAGUUUCGGCGGUUGGGGAUGGGCUCGCGGCUUAUGAGCUUGUUGGUGGGGUAGUGGCUUACCAAGGCUUUGACGGGUAGGCGGCCUGAGAGGGUGACCGGCCACAUUGGGACUGAGAGACGGCCCAGACUCCUACGGGAGGCAGCAGUGGGGAAUAUUGCACAAUGGGCGGAAGCCUGAUGCAGCGACGCCGCGUGCGGGAUGACGGCCUUCGGGUUGUAAACCGCUUUCGGCUGUGACGAAGCGUGAGUGACGGUAAUGGGUGAAGAAGCACCGGCUAACUACGUG